GUAGCGGGUGGUAGGGAAGUCUGUGGUCCUUCAGGUCUUAUGUGUAUCUUGACAGGGUGACAAGGCAGCAAAGAGUUGGGCCCAAGAGGAAUGAAUUAGCUGUGAAACGCUUGUGAGGGGUUACAGAAACACAGAGCUGCGCUGUGCUGGAAGCUCUGGGGGGGGUCUGAAGUUGCUCUCCCUGUGCCAUCAGGAAUCAAUCCCAGGCUGCUUCAGCACUGUUCUCUGACAGGGUCGGGAAGGUAUGGAGGCUCUUGUGCAGCUCUGCUGCUUGGCAGACCUUCCUCUGCGGAAGAUGGAUGGUGUGAGUGGUCAGGUGGGAGCACAACCCCUGCAUUGCCUUCCUGGAACGCUUUUCUGGCACUGCCUUUGGGGAGGAGCGAGGCCAAUGCUUGAUGACCACACAGGGAGCUUGUGCAGUGUGUGGUGGCACAAAGGGUUGCCCUUUUGCUGCAAGGCUGUGAGGAGAGAGGUUGGGUGGUGAUGUAGGUGCUGUGCAGGUGGCAAAUGGCUUGCAGGCAAAGAGAUGCUUUGCAUCCUCUUGCAGCUUAUGGUUCACAAUUGCCCAUAGUGCUCCACUCUCUGUUAGAAGAGAGCAAUGGGGCAAUGUGCUGCCCUGGAGCUUCCAGGGCAAGGCUGUUCAGGAAGCUUUCCCAACUUUACAGAAGUGUUUCCAGGCAAACAACUUCCACUUCUCCUGGGAUGCCCCCUCUGAAGCAGUGUGCCUUGGUUCCUUCCUGUUAACUCUGAGUUGGUUUAGAAAUCUGGCAUUCACUUUUCUUCCUGUGAUAAGGUAUUUUAAAACUGGAAACAAAAGAUGCUUCAGUCUCACUUUAUGCCAUUCUGCGUUCAAACUGCUCUUUGCAGCCCCUGCCUGUUUCACACGUCCUUCAGCCCUGGCCUUUGGCAUCUAACGCAGAGCAGAAUCACUCCUGGGGCUCUAAACCUUCCUUAACUGCUGAGAAACCACUGUGCUGCAUCUGCCCGCUGCCUGCGUUCAGCCCUUUGCCUCUGCUUCCCCGCCGCCUCCUCCUCCUCUUCUUCCAGCAGAUAAUGGGAUGACAGUCCUGUUGCACAGGGCACGAAAAGGCAAUCAUUGCUCUCCAGCAGUGCUUUCUAAGGCAGAAGCGGUGCAGAGUGGGGCUCGAGGAGAAUGUGGGAGAGGCAGUGCAGCAGGCAGGGGGACUGGCCCCAUGUCCCUUCAGGCACAAAGGGGCUGCUUGUGGUGCUGUGGGGUAGUGAUAUUGAUGGCCCCCACCUGCUUUUUUAAGAAUAUGUACGUAGUUUAGAACAAACGCAAGCUUAUUUCCCUAGCAGGUUGUAUUGAGAAAUGCGAGCAGGACAGCAGAGUCCAGAUUACUUCUGCAACCCAGACAGGAAACGGAAUACCACAAGCAGCAAUUUUGAGCAUGUUCUUUUGAGGUUUCUUGCUUUUGUUCGUUCAUUAUGUCUUUUCCUGUUGGUUUCUAAGUGUAGUUUUGUGCUUAUAAAUGAUGCUGAGCCCAGAUUGUUGGUAAAAGGAGAGGAGGAGCUGCUUCCCACCAUCCCUGGAGCCUGUCCUCAUGCGGGAUGCUGCCCCAGACCCUUCCUUGGGGAACACCGUGACAGCCAAGCACUGCGGGGUGGCUGUGAAGCAGGAGGUGAGCUGGUGUCCAGCCUCACGCCUGCUGUCCCUCCUCAUUGUGGGGCUGGGAGAGCAUUCAUCUCUUGGACUUCCAACCAAGUGUGAAAAUUCACAGGUCAGGGGGUGGAAAAAAGGCCGCUAUUAGUGUUAUUUUAAGCACGAGGGAAUGAAUUGGUGAGUGCUGGGAGCAAUAUGGAAAAGCAAGAGAGGCAGUGCCUCUUCGCAGCCCCUUCACGGGGCGGUGAUGCCGAGGAGAGGGGAUCGCUGCCCGAUUUGAAAGAGAAUAGGGCCAUGACCAAUCGCUGUGAAAUGUGGCAAUAAUGCCUUCCGCAGUGGCCGUGGGAUAAAAGGCAGGGACAGCCUGAACUGUAAAGAUGUUUCAUUUCCCUGGUAAUGAGGGAGACACACUGUGGCAAUGGAACCAGAGAGAGAGAGACCGUGAGAUGCUAAUUUCUGCUCCUGUUGCCGCUGCAGCUUUGAUCUGAAGCAAAUGCCCGUUUUAAAUUGCAAACGGAUGCAAGUCAGAUAUCAUCCAGCCACUGGCUUACAGGCUUAAUGAAGUGGGACGCACGCCUCGGCCUGAUAAUGUUCCGAGAGGCAGGCGACUGGGAGAGGAAUUACUGAGGGUCUGAGGAGACGGGAGGAAGGCUGAGGAUGUCAUGGGGGAAAUCAUCACCGGGGGCACAAAGCCUCCUACUUGGUGUUCUUGGCGAGUUGUGGCUGAGCCCCUCAUCCUCUGUGCCAACAGAAAAGAUGUGAGCGUGCUGCCCUGCUGUUAUGUGUCCUGUGUUUUGAGGCAUCUUGAACAGGCCGCCGAGGUUAUGGUGCUCUUUGCUCUCAGAGUGCGGACAUCACCAGGUAAGGCAAACUUAGAAAUUGUAACCAGCUCAUUUUGUGCCAUCGUUUGGGCACUUAAUCGGACUUUAGAAAGACAACAUGCGUUGAGACUCUGCUGAUAAGACUGCUCUGGGGCAGACCCAGAAGCCCUGGGGAACAAGUUCACCGUGCCAGCAGUGAUAUGGAAUAAUGGUAGCUCACACUGGACAACCUCAUCUUGAGUCUCGUGCGAAGAUCUACCUGUUUUAAAGAAUUAAUAUUGGAAGGGAUAGAAUCACAAAGUUAUUAAAGUUAGAAAAGGCUGCUCAGAUGACCCAGUCCAACCACCAGCCCAUCCCCACCAUGCCCACUAACCACGUCCCUCAGUGCCACAGCCACACAGUUCUUGAGCACCUCCAGGGAUGGUGACUCCACCACCUCUAUGGGCAGCCUGUGCCACUGCACCGAGAAGAAAUGUUUCCUAAUUUCCAACCUGAACGUCCUCUGGUGCAACAUGAGGCCAUUCCCUCUCAUUCUAUCACUGGUUAGAUAUUUAUUACACUUUUCAAUAAGGCGAGGAACUUGAGUCCUACUGUCAAGCCAGUUUGUUAUGUACCUGGAGUACUUCCUUGCACAAGAGCAAUGGGAUACAGAAGAAUCUAACUGGAGGUAGGUAGUCUCAUCACCCAGGCAUUUUUAUAUUCUUAUUCUACGUUUACGUUGUAGCUUUGCAUAUAACUGCAGAAGAUGCAAAAAGAAGCACGUGCGUCCUCACACCCUCUCUUUCUUUCCCACUACCCCACAAGGCUUUUGUUUCCGACAAUGCUUUCAGAUGACUUCCCCUUUGGUAGAGUAAAUCACGUUAAUCUGAAGAAUGCUAGGCAAGAUGAAGUUUUUAGAUUACGCUUUAUUUUUCUACGGUGUUUUGCAUUUAAGGACAUCACACCAUCACAAUGCGUAGUUGAGAAUUUUCUCUGCUUGACAAAUGAGGGAGCUUAGAUGCAGCAGUUUGCUAUGAAACAGUGAGGAGAGAAAAAAUAAAUCAGAAAUCUCCUCUAGAGAAGGAGACAGGAAGAAAAGCUGACUCCAAUACUGAGAAUUAAAGAGAAAAAUCUCUGCUGGACCCAAAAUAAGUCUCCAUAGAAACAGCUUUUUCUGAAAAUGAAUUACUGCAGUAUGAAAUGAAGAUUGUGGAUCUAGUUCUGCAAAAUAUUUAAGCAUGUUCUUUGCUUAUCCCUAUUCAGCUCAAGAUGCAAGCAUGAGAUUUCCAUGGGUGCUUAUGUACCUUAUUUGAUGGAGGUAGGAACAUGAACAAGCAUUGUUGAAUGGAGGUCUGGGCUUUCUUGUGCUUCCUCACGGCUGACCAACUUACAACUUAUUUUUUAAUGCCAACACGUGUUGCUUGGCUGCUAAAAUUACAGACAGCAGCACAUAGACUACAGUGCCUCAUUUUUGGAGUUCAGCGCAAGGUUCCAGUAGAUUCUUCUCAUUAACAGGGAGUGGAGUCAACAGAGUGUUUACAUUGCUGGGUACUUUACUGUUCUGUUAAUUAACUCUUGUUGCAUUUGCCUGCAGAUUUAAAUUUAUAUGGGAUAUUUAUUCUGUAAAUUAACAACAUGGUGAUUAUCUGAUAAUUAACUUGAGAGUCAAUGGCAUGAGAGGUUGAGAUUUAUUCCUAAUCUAUCUUUUGUGCACCUCUAUUUGUGGCCUAAGGACAUUUUUAAGACGGGAUAGGUUCUUAAUAUCUUGCAUGCUAAUUUACUUUUAUUGUGAAUGUGUGCUAGCAAACAAUUGUUUUUAGUUUAAGCUAUUUGAGACUGCUUUGUGCAUCUUUUUUUUCCUUCUGUUGUGACUUUAUGUUCAGCCAAAUUACUAGGACAAAUAAGGUCUGACUCAGUUUUAUUCCUGUUUACUGUACUUGGUACAGGUGAAGAUUUUGCAUAGCUAAGCUGUGGCUGCUUCUCUUCAGAAACUUUCUAUCUUCUUACUGUUUUUUAUUUCUGACCAACUUCUGACUUAUUUAUUUGGGGAGGUAUCCAUUUGUAGAUGCCCCAUUUAAGCAUUUCCCAGUGUCACUAUAGAGCCCUGCAUAGAGAAUUUAAGGUCACCGAUGACAGGGCUUUGGGACUGUCUUCAGAAGAACAAGCAGUCUUCAUGGAAAUUUGCCUAGAUUGUGUCCCUUCCUCUGUUCAUCUCUGCCGGUCCCAGCCAAAACAAGCUCUCAAGGCAUUUCAACAAUCCAUCUUAAUAUAACGUUCAGCACAGAGACUGUUGACCUACUGUUGAGCCAACGUGAAUGGUCUCCCUCCUGUGUGACCCUUCAGCCCCUCCAAGGCUGUCCCUGUGUUGGGCUUUACAUGUACCAAGCUGGAGGUAGUCACAAUGUCGAGGCUCCUGCUGGAGCCCAGGUCUUCAGCAGGGGAAUCAUCUCCAGCUGAAACUGUCCCUUGUCCCUGUUGGACUGGAGUUUUCUCUUACUGCUGGAAAGUAUUCAUUUUCAGAACUUUCUCUGAUGUGGAGAUGAAAGAUGCACAUCGUCUCCCAGAGGUUCAGCUGUUUCUUGGUAAUUCCUGAAAUCCACACUCAUUUUGCAGUCUUCCUCGCCUCCUCUGUGCUUUGGGACAGAUUUUUUUUGUUUGCCCAUGCCUGCCAUUCUGUCAUCUGAAGUGCACGUCAGAGAUGGCAGCAGUUAUAGCUCGUUUUGCAGUGGUUCUCAACUCCAAGCCUUCCAGGGACUGUGAAAAAUAUGCCAUCAAAGGAAAUCAUGAUCUUCCACAAGCCCAGCUAGGGGAAAUGCAGGUGCCUCAUGGACACUCUUUCCUCUCGAAUGCUUUCAGAUAACGAGGAGACCCAUGACCUGUGUAGAGUCCAAAGUGAUGGAUAGAUUUGCACAAAAGUAGAAAAAGUUGUUGCCUUUUUGCUGCCUCCUCAGAUCCGGAGGGUCUCCAUUUCCACGUUGCACUGACAUAUGAACAAGAAAGUGCUGCCUGAACAUAGGGUGUUCAGUGAGGUCCUAGUCCUCACUGGUUAGGGACUAAGAGGGCAGGUCCUUCUCCCCCAGGCCCCACUGGGGUCAGGCUGACUCCCUGGAGACCGAAGUAGAGAGGGGAGCUGUGCUUCCAUGUGCCAUUGGCGAUGGCUAACCAGUGCAGAAGUCAACUCUGCUUGGCUUCUGUUAGGCUUGCCUAGGUUCCCCCAGAGGUGCCUUGUGCCCGUGAAUCCAGCCAUGGUGCCAGGAACAUCCUCAUCCCCACAUAUGGCUCCAUCAGGUCAUGCACGUGGCCCACCACUGCUGACUCCUCAGUUGGGCACGUUUUCCUUCUGAGCCUGCAAAGCCUGCUGUUGGUGUGCCAAACUGAAGGCACGGAAAUAAAUAGGAAUUUAUUUUUAACCCAGUGUGAGAUCUCUCAUUCUUAGCUUUUCUUUUUUUUUUUUUUUUCUUUUUUUCCCUCCCCAUAAUUGGUUCUGUUUUUGCUAACGGUUUGGAAUUUAGCAGCUAUUCCUGCCUGAGAGUGUUACUUUGUUAGCUGGUAUUAGAGAAGGAGAUUAAGGCUGUUGUUAGCAGUGGAGGCUGCAGGACAUAUGGGUAAUGCAAACCUGCUAGUGACAAAGUUGUUUUGAGGCAGUGGGACAGAUUGCCUGGCUUAGCAGCAGUGAAAUGGUGAUGAGGUAAGUAGUGCUGGGAAAAUCCUAUUAGGGAAGGAGAACAGCGCACUGGAACCGAGCAAUCACAAGGUGCAUGGUACCAAAUGUGUUGUUUCUCUAAGAAAUCAAAUUCACGUUAGUUGCCCAGUGGGGACUCAUCUGUCUCCAAACUGCACUUGCUCUGUGAGCAGGCUCACAGGCUGCUCUGAACAUCCCAGCUUUUAGUAACGGCUGAAGACCAAAAGACGAUGACUCUAGGCCUUCCAGGCAGUCAGCUCUGAUUUCGGUCAGAUGUUUCCUCCUCCAUCCCAUCGCAAGACGUGGAGCAGGAUGAAGGACAGAGAGAUCUAGAACAGCAUCCUGGAUCUGAUCCUUGUUGCUGCGAUGGAGGUUAGAGCAGGAGGGCAGUGAUUUCCUUAAUGCAUACGGGGCAGCAGGAAUGCACGUGCACCUAAAGGUUUGGCUAAAUACCACUGGCUCUCAAAGGUUUCAAUCUAUUGUCCCCUAUUGGGAGUGUUCCGCAGCACUGUUCCUAAAGCAUUUCCUGGGCUCUCUUUGGCCGGUAGGUGUUUUUCUGUGGGUUUGGUUUUGUGUUGUUUUGUAGGGUUGUUUUUUUUGCCUGUUGCUCUACAGUAAGUAGAUUAGCCACGAUUUAUUUGAGACAGGACUGCGGCUGGUGAUUUGUGCGUCGUUGUGGGUGUAGGAGCUGCAUGAUCUCAUCAUGAAAGGUGACUGCUGUGCAGCACGAGGGACGAGGGGACAGGUUAGGAUAAAUGACACGGGGGAGUCUGGGUCCACCAGUGGGCUGCAGGCCUGCCAGCUGGCGGGGGAUGCAGGUGGGAUGAUCUGCACUUCUAAAUACAGCCUCUCCCUGCACCCUCAUGAUUAAGGGCAGCUCUGUGGCAGACAUGUCUCUAUUUUUAUUCUGUUUUUAUUUUUUUUUUUCAGGAGGAGAUGGGGGACAAACAAGGGAACCAAUCUUCCUGCAGAAGAAAGGAAGACCCAAGGGGCCGACCAGCAGAGGCAGCACUUCUGCCACCAAGGACAAGGGCUGCUUGGGCAUCGCAGGAUCACCAAGGUUGGAAGAGACCACUAAGAUCAUCUAGGCCAACGCCCGACCCAGCAUGGGAUGGUGCUGUCGUGAUCCUUCUGGUGGCUCUGGAGGUGCCUGCUCAGAUCUUCCUCCUGUCUUGACAAAGACGAGAUAGCAUCAGAGAUUGAGGAGCUGGAAGAAGUGGAUCAUGUAAGUGUCGAUAACGCCAGCCAGAGUGAAGAGAAACGUCUCAUGACACUCAUCAGCUCUCACUUGAUGUUACAGCUGGGUGACUGACAUUUUGGCCUAGAAGUCUGUGGGGUGGCUGUCGGUGGGAGGAUCCACUGCACCUGGCCAGGAGGAUGACACAGUCAUGCUGCGUGCUCGUGUCUCAACCCAGAAGCUUUUGAAAAGCAUACAGGAAAGGGUCAUCAUGAAGCAAGCUUUGUCCCUUCGAAGGCCCGAAAUCCCCUUUAGACACUGAAAGGCCGCUACCAGGUCAGCUCGCAGCCUUCUCCAGGCUGAACAGCCUUAACUCUCUCAGCCUGUCCUCGCAGGAGAUGUCUUCCAUUCCAUGGAUCAUUUUUGUGGCCCUCCUCUGGAUGUACUCCAACAGGUCUACAUCUCUCCUGUACUGAGGACUCCACAUCUGGACUCAAUACUCCAGGCAAGGUGAGCUGCAUGAGAAAGAAGCAAAAGAGGCUCUCCUGCCCCUGGCCGUGCAGGCUUUGGGAUGGGAAAGGGCUCCCUUCUCCCCACGGUGACUCACCUCCAGAUUACACCAGGACUGCUGAACCUGACACUUCAUGGGCAGCAAUUUGCGCAUUGCAACGAGGAAAUUAAGCCAAAGCAGAGCGCCUACCUCAUGCAAACGUGACCUCUGUGCCCAGCAGCCAUUUGACACUCUCCAUUAAACAACUCUACCUGCAAUUAAAAUCAUCCAAAGCGAGACUUUGAACUGCUGGGCCUUAGGAUUACAGCUCCAGAGGGACCAGUAAACGCAAGAUACGUAUGUUUCUCUCCUCCUGCUUUCUUCUGUGCCUCUCCUCUAAAGAAGAGUUCUGAAGGAGUCUGAAGGAAAGAACAAGAGCCUGGAGCUGGGUAUAGAAUGACAGAAUCAUAGGUGCUGUAAGUAUAUUCUACAUGGUCAUCGUUGGGCGGUAAUGGCUUCUCCCCAUCCUGGGGCACAACUAGCUCUUGCUUUCUCUGCUUUUGCUGAUAGAUGCACCUAUCUGGCACAGCUCCAGUGCCUUCUGGCACACAGGAGAUGUCAAGGGAUGCUACAGGACUCGAAGUCCAUCCAAAGUGAUACCGCUCGUGUUCCUGUAUGUUGCUGACAGCAAACCCUUGCCUUGGCCGAGCUACUGUUAUACAGGACUUUUUAAGGAAUGAUAGAUGGGAUGGAUUGCUGACGCUUCUUAAAAAUGGCCAGUUUUACAUACAGGUCCAGCUUUCUGCCUUUUAUGGAUAGCAUUUCACUUUUAUGAAUUGAAUUAGGGAUUUCAUUUUGCCUUCCCUUCACGUAAUUCCUGUUUAUUAUACAACCUCUCCUUAUUGAUGCAGUAUCUUUAACAAUAAAUGAUGCAUGAGCGAUCUGAACAGUUACUGGAAAGUGUCCCUGGGUGAGCUCUCAGGAGGACCACUUGCCUCACUAAUGGAGGAAAACUCUAACGUGCCCAUUCACAUACGGUAGGCUGACAUCCACAGGUAAAAGCACGGUGCCCACAGACAGGCUCAUUGCUACUGGUGUGGUCCCAGCCAUGCAGAUGGCAGCUGGGUGACAUUUCCUACUCAG
ensembl:lncRNA